UACGGAGGGUGCGAGCGUUGUCCGGAAUCACUGGGCGUAAAGGGCGCGUAGGCGGCGCGGUAAGCGUGCGGUGAAAGUCCGGGGCUCAACCCCGGAUCGGCCGUGCGGACUGCCGGACUAGAGUUCGGAAGAGGCGAGUGGAAUUCCCGGUGUAGCGGUGAAAUGCGCAGAUAUCGGGAGGAACACCUAUGGCGAAGGCGGGUCUCUGGGCCGAAACUGACGCUGAGGAGCGAAAGCGUGGGGAGCGAACAGG
rnacentral:rRNA from 1 species